rnacentral:rRNA from 1 species
UGUACGGAAUGGAUAAGCGCUGAAAGCAUCUAAGCGCGAAGCCAACUUCAAGAUAAGAUUUCCCACCGCAAGGGUAAGACCCCAGAAAGACUAUCUGGUUGAUAGGUCGAAGGUGUAAGUGCAGCAAUGUAUUUAGCUUAUCGAUACUAAUAGGUCGAGGACUUGACCAA